UACGGGGGGUGCAAGCGUUAUCCGGAAUCACUGGGUUUAAAGGGUGCGUAGGCGGGACAUUAAGUCAGUGGUGAAAGUCUGUUGCUUAACGAUAGAAUUGCCGUUGAUACUGAUGUUCUUGAAUUGGGUUGAGGUUAGCGGAAUGUGACAUGUAGCGGUGAAAUGCAUAGAUAUGUCAUGGAACACCAAUUGCGAAGGCAGCUAGCUGGGCCUUGAUUGACGCUGAGGCACGAAAGCGUGGGGAGCAAACAGGAUUAGAAACCCUAGUAGUCC
rnacentral:rRNA from 1 species